CUCUUCCGUUCUGGAAAUGAGAGUUUCUCACUGAGACCAGAAGGGCUUUGCCUUGUUUCCCUUUUGCUCCAUGCCCAGAGACGGGUCUUAGUUCCUUCCUCUCCUCAUUAGCUGUCCCUCACAGUGUGCUGCUUUGUCCCUCACCUCCUUAGGAAGGCUGUGGGACGAGGGUGGCUCAGGUUGCCCACAGGUGUUGUAGAGUCUCCAUUGCUGGAGAGGCUCAAGCCCCAAGUGGACAUGAUCCUGGACAACCUGCUCCAGCUGAGCCUGCUUGACCAGGGCUCUGGACUAGGAGAUCUUGAGAGGUCCCUCCAAGCCUUAACAAUUCAGUGAUUCUGUGAUCCUGGGACAAGGCUUUUUUUGCUUGCUUUUGAAAUGUGCACCUUGUAGAAGCAGGAGCUGAGGUCUGAGAUAGGCAGGCUCAGGCAUCAGAUCUACAGGAAACUUUGACCAGUCAGAGAUAAAUUUCUGUCUGUGAUACACUGCUUGGAUAACUUCAUUUUCUGCUCUGCUUCUGAACUUUUUCUGCAGAUUUAUGGCUAAAUGAUUUCAUAAAAUGUAUUCAGUGUAUUCAAUAUAAUCAAUGUAAUCAAUGUGUCAAUCAAAAGAUCAGUGUGUGCUAGAUCAUGUAGUUCCUGAGUAGUUCACAAUAAAAAUCAUUUGCU